rnacentral:rRNA from 1 species
UGCAGUCGAACGCGUGUAGCAAUACACGAGUGGCGCACGGGUGAGUAACGCGUGGGAACCUGCCCAGUGGUAGGGAAUAACUGCGGGAAACUGCAGCUAAUACCCUAUACGCCCUACGGGGGAAAGUUUUUCGCCAUUGGAGGGGCCCGCGUCGGAUUAGCUAGUUGGUGAGGUAAGAGCUUACCAAGGCGACGAUCCGUAGCUGGUCUGAGAGGAUGAUCAGCCACACUGGGACUGAGACACGGCCCAGACUCCUACGGGAGGCAGCAGUGGGGAAUAUUGGACAAUGGGGGCAACCCUGAUCCAGCAAUGCCGCGUGAGUGAUGAAGGCCUUAGGGUUGUAAAGCUCUUUCGACGGGGACGAUGAUGACGGUACCCGUAGAAGAAGCCCCGGCUAACUUCGUGCCAGCAGCCGCGGUAAUACGAAGGGGGCUAGCGUUGUUCGGAAUUACUGGGCGUAAAGGGCGCGUAGGCGGUUUUGUAAGUCAGAUGUGAAAGCCCCGGGCUCAACCCGGGAAUAGCAUUUGAUACUGCGAGGCUUGAGUCCGGGAGAGGAUGGCGGAAUUCCCAGUGUAGAGGUGAAAUUCGUAGAUAUUGGGAAGAACACCGGUGGCGAAGGCGGCCAUCUGGACCGGUACUGACGCUGAGGCGC